rnacentral:lncRNA from 1 species
AGAUGCUGUAAAACUCCUCGUAUUCUCAAAAGAGUAACAGUAUAUCUUAAAUAAACACCUUAACUUCAAACGGCUAUAACUUCUUCACCCCAACUCUAAAUCCUCUAAUUUUUGCACACAAAUUAUAUCUCAAAUCCUAAACUUUAUAACCCUAGCUUCUAAUCUUUGAAUGCUCUCUUUGAAGUUGCCAAAACCCUUCUUAAGGUCGCGGGCAGCCUCCUCAAAGUCCAUUGGGUAUGGUAUUCGACCAAUAGGAAUGAAGUUCUCCAU